CUCAAAAUAGUUUUUAAUUAGACUCGACUCGGCCAAGUUCGAUCAAUCAAAGGCUCCUAUGGUCGUAAGGCUCUGAUUACCAACUUGUAACGACUAAGAUGCGACUCUUUUCUUAUUUGGGGCGAGGCCUCAAAAGGUGAAAGAGGCGCAUCUAAGUGUUUCGCAAGCAGGAUAAACAUCGCAAUACAUAAUGGAAGGAAGAGUAAUAAGAUUUGGCUUACACUCGCCACAAGCUAAAUUACACAAUCACACAACCAUACAUUAUUCAAAUGGAAAAUAGGGUCCGUCUACGUACAACAUAAACGACAAAAUCUGAUGCUAUCCCGCCUUGCUAGGCCCACGUUCACGACCAAGUGCCUCUAAUCCUCGGGAUACGUCACGUACAACCCGCAACUAUCCUCGUCGAACUCCCACCUUAGCUGGGUAUCCUCGGGAAUGUCUGCAUCUGGGGUACCUGUACGUGUGGGUGGUUGUAGUAAACUCUAAGCCACGAGGACUCAGCAAUCUUGUCACCUUGGUAUCGAGUCUAACUAAGUUAAUAGGUGAGAUUGGGGUAUGUGUUUGAGUUUGCCGCAUCCGAAGUGUAUAUGGUGGCUAGCUUACGAAGAACAGGAAAAGAAGUUAAGGUGGUCUACGCAAGACGGUCGAGAUCUAAGAGUGAUCACUAAUAGAUCCUGAACUCCUACUUACGUCAUUCAUAACCCCACCGUGUUCUCGAUCAGAGAAGGAACUCCGAAAGAAACAGUCACGGUUACGGACACAGUUGGCAAGUUUUAGUUAAGUUACUUAAGUUGUCUAGAACCGGAUGUUAACAAAAUAUCCAUGUUUGCCACAUAACCGCGGGCACAGCUUCCCGAAAUAUUUAACCCUGCAUGGGUGCUCCAACUGAUCCAUCAUAAAUUACCACAUGCCGCAUAGUAAUCCUCGACCACGAAACUCGCGAUCUCGUUGGAUUCCUUAGAGGAAAACCUCAACUUUGAGUAGACCCAAAGUGUCACCGGAAUCCCAAUGCACAAGAUAUAUCGCUAAGGUAAGACAAGUCCACCGCCCGACGUGUCGACGACCCUGAUAAGAGCCGCGUAUCUCAGUCUCAGGACACGUCGGAUAAGCACGACGUACGGUGGCCUGAGAGACAUCUCCCGGGUUGGCCCCACAAACGGGUCUAGGUUGGACCAACACUCAUGAGGAGCAACGGUCCGGGGGAUUGACUAAGUUCCUUGGGGUAGCUAUUCCCUAUGCUUUUUUAUUAAGUUGUUACCAAAUUAACACCAAAGUUGGGUCUUGCGAGACUAGCCUUAACACUAAACGAUUUAUCAAGGGGGUCCCCAUAACAUACCCGAACGUGUUAGGAGCGCUUAGUUAUGGAAUAAAACACUGGUAGCAGAAAUUAAGGCGACAAAUGUGUAACGAAUCACCCGAUAAAAGGCUAGGCCUUCCACUAUUUACCAAGUAUAUAGGUGCAUUAAUUAAAAUAGCAUUUAAAUAAGAUGAUAUCAAAUUGGCCAUGUUAUCACAUGGACCAGCUUGCACC
rnacentral:lncRNA from 1 species